rnacentral:lncRNA from 1 species
GGGAGAUUAGAGCCGUUUGAAGGGAGUUGUGAGAUCUUUCGGGAUUUCAAGGCUUCUUAGGACUUAUCUUUUAAUUUCUUGCUAUCAAUUCUUUCUUUAUUUCUGUCUGCGCUGAAUCUUUAUCUAAUUUAUUUAUUUUUUUGUUUUUAUUGUGUUUUCAGCCUUUUUCUAUCUUAAGGAAUCAGCCCAAAAAAAAUCCCCAAUUUCUAGGGUUCUUCCACACUCUUUUUGGGUAAAAUCAGAUUGUCGAAAUUUGGGGAGAACUAUCUUGGUGUUCAAUUGGGCAGAAUCGCAAUCUCCUCUAGGGUUUCAAGAUUCCUUAUUAACAUUUCUAUUCUCAAUUUGAUUCUUUACUGUUUGGGGGAUUUUAUUUCAGAUCUGGAAAUUCAAAAUUCUAAUCUUUUAAUUUUCUGUUUCGUUUCAGAUCUGAUUGUUUAGGGUUUUUCGUAGGAGUUUCCUGUGACUUGGCAACUUGAUCUUGGCCCGCGCACAACCCCCGUAUCAUUUGGUAUCAGAUUUUGGGCGUUUUGGGUGUUCUUGGUUGAUUUCUAAACUGAUCUCUAUUUUUUAAAUUACAAACAGCAGUUUUACCCAGAAAAAUUUUCGAAAAAAAUUCAUUUGAGCGGGUAAACGUUUUCUGAUUGAUCUGAAAUUUUACAUACAUAUUUGUGGCACUGUUAUUGAAUAUAAAAAAAUAUUUCCCACAAAAAAAUAAGUCGAAAAAGUCAAAGAAUUGAAAAAAGACGAAAUCCAAUAAAAAAUUAAAAAAAUAUUCAGCGGGUUGAUUUUGGUGCCCAAAUUUUCCAGAUCAAAAAUUCAAUAUUUGAAGACAUUCCAGAUUUAAUUUUGUGAUUUUUUGAGAUCGGGAACACCUCGAACGAAGUUGUCAAGUUACUCCGCAG